GCCGAAGGAAAGCAAAGGCCAUAAAAAAAGAGAAGAAGAAGUGUUUUCUGUCAAAUGUUAUUUUUAUCAACUUAAUCUGUUUAUUAAUUUAUUUCGAGCGGGAAUAACACUUUUCAUGAACUGUUAAAUGUUUUGUACGAUGGUAGCCCGCGAAAUUUGAAUAUUACCCCUAGUUUUUCAACAGUCCACUUAUGUCGCAAAGUAUCGCUGCAACGCAUUAAAAUAUAUCACGAUGGUUUGAAGAUUACCUGUGAGUAAGAUAGGGUAAAGUUGCGAACAACGUUGAGACGGUAUUAUUGGCAUUUCUCAAGAGUGGACUGAUUAUUGAAAACGAAGUAGCAAGGAGCAUUAGCAAUUUUGAAGGUAUGAAAAUUUAUCAGGAGAGAUUUUCAAUGUACUCUUUAUACAGUUGAACAAAGGUUUGUAAGCAGAAUAAUAAACCAAGAUAGUUUUCCAUUUCGAAGAAAAAACAACUCAGCUUUCUGAUAACUUAUAAGCCAAAUGCCGUAUAAUGAUGGUUUGGAGCACUUGUAUUUUUUCAAGUUGACUAGCCUGUGUAUUUGUUAUUGAUGUCACCUAUCAUAUAUACUUGAUGUUCAUAUUGUCCAUUUUGCUGUUUGAAAAUCGCUUUCUUUGUAUUUAUUUUAUCAUCCCAUAUUAAAUAAAAUUUUGUUUAGAGAUCA